AUUCCAGCUCCAAUAGCGUAUAUUAAAGUUGUUGCAGUUAAAAAGCUCGUAGUUGAACUUCUGGCUAUCCUUCCAGCUGGCUUCGGUCGCUGUAAGAGUGGUCAUCCGCUUGGGAACUACGUUCGAACUUCACUGUUCGGCGUAAGGAACAGGCAUUUUACUUAGAGAAAAUUAGAGUGUUCAAGGCAGGCUAUCGCCCUGAAUACACAAGCUUGGAAUAAUGAAAUAGGACUGUUUCCAUUUUAUUGGUUAUUGGAAUUAGUAAUGAUUAAUAGGGACAGUUGGGGACAUUAGUAUUUAAUUGUCAGAGGUGAAAUUCUUGGAUUUAUUAAAGACUAACUUAUGCGAAAGCAUUUGUCAAGGAUGUUUUCAUUA
rnacentral:rRNA from 1 species